rnacentral:rRNA from 1 species
GUCUUUUUAUAAGAAUAUAAGGUCCAAUCUGCUCACUGAGGAUUUAAAGAGCCGCAGUAUACUGACUGUGCAAAGGUAGCAUAAUCAAUAGUUUUUUAAUUGAAAACUUGUAUGAAAGAUUAGACGAGAAAUAUAUUUUCUUUAUUUUUAAUAUUGAAUUUUAAUUUUAAGUGAAAAUGCUUAAUUAAGUUUAAAAGACGAGAAGACCCUAUAGAUUUUUAUUAUUGAUAUAGAUUUUAUAUUUUAAAUUUAGUAAAAUAAUUUAAUUGGGGCGAUUUUAUAAAAUAACAAACUUAAUUUUUAAUAACCAUAAAUGAUUGAAUAUUUGAUCUAAAACUUUUAAAGAGAAGAUUAAAUUACCUUAGGGAUAACAGCGUAAUUUUAUUUAAGAGUUCAUAUCUAUAAUAAAGUUUGCGACCUCGAUGUUGAAUUAAGAUGAUUUAUUGGAGUAGAAAUUAAUAUAAUAAGUCUGUUCGACUAUUAAAUUCU